rnacentral:rRNA from 1 species
UACAGAGGGGCAAGCGUUGUUCGGAAUUACUGGGCGUAAAGGGCGCGGUGGCGGCCUGCUCAGUUGAACGUGAAAUCCCCGGGCUCAACCCGGGAACUGCGUCCGAUACUGGUUGGCUUGAAUCCGGGAGAGGGAUGCGGAAUUCCAGGUGUAGCGGUGAAAUGCGUAGAUAUCUGGAGGAACACCGGUGGCGAAGGCGGCAUCCUGGACCGGCAUUGACGCUGAGGCGCGAAAGCCAGGGGAGCAAACGGG